rnacentral:rRNA from 1 species
UGCUCAGGACGAACGCUGGCGGCGUGCUUAACACAUGCAAGUCGAGCGAGGUUCAUCUAGUGGCAACACUGGGGAAGACCUAGCGGCGAACGGGUGAGUAACACGUGAGAAACCUGCCCCGAAGUCUGGGAUAACCCGAGGAAACUCGAGCUAAUACCGGAUGUCUCCCAUUGAUCGCAUGAUUGGUGGAAGAAAGAAUUUCGCUUCGGGAGGGUCUCGCGGCCUAUCAGCUUGUUGGUGGGGUAACGGCCCACCAAGGCGUCGACGGGUAGCUGGUCUGAGAGGACGAUCAGCCACACUGGGACUGAGACACGGCCCAGACUCCUACGGGAGGCAGCAGUGGGAAUAUUGCGCAAUGGGCGAAAGCCUGACGCAGCAACGCCGCGUGCGGGAUGAAGGCCUUCGGGUUGUAAACCGCUUUCAGUGGGGACGAAAUUGACGGUACCCACAGAAGAAGCCCCGGCCAACUACGUGCCAGCAGCCGCGGUAACACGUAGGGGGCGAGCGUUGUCCGGAUUUAUUGGGCGUAAAGAGCUCGUAGGCGGCUCAGUAAGUCAGGUGUGAAAACUCCAGGCUCAACCUGGAGACGCCACCUGAUACUGCUGUGGCUAGAGUCCGGUAGGGGAGCAUGGAAUUCCUGGUGUAGCGGUGAAAUGCGCAGAUAUCAGGAGGAACACCAGUGGCGAAGGCGGUGCUCUGGGCCGGAACUGACGCUGAGGAGCGAAAGCGUGGGGAGCAAACAGGAUUAGAUACCCUGGUAGUCCACGCCGUAAACGUUGGGUACUAGGUGUGGGGCCUUAUCAACGGGCUCUGUGCCGAAGCUAACGCAUUAAGUACCCCGCCUGGGGAGUACGGCCGCAAGGCUAAAACUCAAAGGAAUUGACGG